UACGUAGGGCGCAAGCGUUAUCCGGAAUUAUUGGGCGUAAAGAGCUCGUAGGCGGUUUGUCGCGUCUGCUGUGAAAACCCGAGGCUCAACCUCGGGCCUGCAGUGGGUACGGGCAGACUAGAGUGCGGUAGGGGAGAUUGGAAUUCCUGGUGUAGCGGUGAAAUGCGCAGAUAUCAGGAGGAACACCGAUGGCGAAGGCAGGUCUCUGGGCAUUAACUGACGCUGAGGAGCGAAAGCAUGGGGAGCGAACAGG
rnacentral:rRNA from 1 species